AGUUACUCCACAGUCGUUCUUCACUGGCUAGCUUUAUUUUUCUGUCCAUGUAAAGCUGCCAGUUGAAGAGCUGUUGUGGGUGAC
rfam:Lepisosteus oculatus linkage group LG20, whole genome shotgun sequence.